rnacentral:rRNA from 1 species
GUUUGAUAGAAGUUUUUUUUACAUUUAUUUUCAUACUUUAUAGGAAAAAUUUUUUUUUCUAAUGGUUAUAUUUCUUUUUUAAUAGAAAGAGUCUUUAUAGAUCAAUUUUGUGCCAGCCUUCGCGGUCAUACUUUAUUUAUGGUAUUUAUUAUAGUUAUAUAGAUUUUGCAUUGUAUUUUUUUUUCUUAGGUGAAAUUAUUAAAAAAAUUUUUUUUUUCUUAUUAUCUGUAAUUUUUUUACAGACUAGGAUUAGAGACCCUUUUAUGUUUAGGUUUUAAUAAAGUAGUAGUAUGUUAAUUUAAACUUAAUUUUUCUGGCGGUUUACUAUACUUUCAGAGGAGCUUGUCUUUUAAAGGAUAACCCGCUUUUAUCUUUACCUUCUUUUUGUUUACGUACGGCUGUAAUGUUUUAAGGUUUAUUUUAUUGCUUAAAAAAAAUUUUUUUAAAAUUCAGGUCUAUGUGUAGUAUCUAGGAAGGGGUCUUAUGAGCUACCUUUUUUGUAUUUUAUUUUGUUUAAAAAAAAAUUGGAUUUGAGAGUAAAUUAAUGAUUAAACCUUUUAUUGAUUAAGUUUUUAGUAAAUGUACAAAUCGCCCGUCACUCUUUUGAUAGAUAAGUCGUAACAAAGUAGCUCUACUGGAAGGUGGAUCUUGUUUGCAGAUUUAUUAGUU